rnacentral:tRNA from 3 species
GUUUUAAUAGUUUAAAAAAAACUUUGGUCUUGUAAACCAAUAAUGAAUUACUAUUUCUUAAAACU